CCAGGGCCGUCUUUAAUAACGAAUGGACCCUGGGCAAGUGUUUGCUUGGGCCCCCUGUGCCCUGCCGCUCUCACCCCUCACUCCCUGGUAUGCAAUCACGGCAUCCAUCCCAACGCAGUGGCGGUACUAAAGUAGAAUGAAUUUUAUUGGGACCCCCAAUUGCAAGGUUGGACUACAGGUAGAACCCCAUCUGUCGUGCAACUCCAACAAUGCUUUGACAGCUGGGACUCUACCAAUUUCCCAUGCUUGCAGGGUUGUAUUUAGCACUGAGC